rnacentral:rRNA from 1 species
AGAGUUUGAUCAUGGCUCAGGAUGAACGCUAGCGGCAGGCUUAAUACAUGCAAGUCGAACGGUAACAGGCCCGCAAGGGUGCUGACGAGUGGCGGACGGGUGAGGAAUACAUCGGAAUCUGCCCGGUUGUGGGGGAUAACGUAGGGAAACUUACGCUAAUACCGCAUACGACCGAAAGGUGAAAGCGUGGGAUCCGCAAGGACCUCGCGCAGCCGGAUGAGCCGAUGUCGGAUUAGCUAGUUGGCGGGGUAAAGGCCCACCAAGGCGACGAUCCGUAGCUGGUCUGAGAGGAUGAUCAGCCACACUGGGACUGAGACACGGCCCAGACUCCUACGGGAGGCAGCAGUGGGGAAUAUUGGACAAUGGGGGCAACCCUGAUCCAGCAAUGCCGCGUGUGUGAAGAAGGCCUUCGGGUUGUAAAGCACUUUUAUCCGGAACGAAACGCGCAGGGUGAAUAGCCUUUGCGAACUGACGGUACCGGAGGAAUAAGCACCGGCUAACUUCGUGCCAGCAGCCGCGGUAAUACGAAGGGUGCAAGCGUUACUCGGAAUUACUGGGCGUAAAGCGUGCGUAGGUGGUUUGUUAAGUCUGCUGUGAAAGCCCCGGGCUCAACCUGGGAAUGGCAGUGGAUACUGGCAAGCUAGAGUGCGGUAGAGGGUAGUGGAAUUCCCGGUGUAGCGGUGAAAUGCGUAGAGAUCGGGAGGAACACCAGUGGCGAAGGCGGCUACCUGGACCAGCACUGACACUGAGGCACGAAAGCGUGGGGAGCAAACAGGAUUAGAUACCCUAGUAGUCC